rnacentral:rRNA from 1 species
GUCGAACGGAUAUCUUCGGAUAUGAGUGGCGAACGGGUGAGUAACACGUAGGGAACCUGCCUGCAUGAGCGGGAGAACUUCUGGAAACGGAAGCUGAUACCGGAUGAGCAAAGAGGAGGCAUCUUCUUUUUGGAAAAGGGGACAAGAGUCCCGCAUGCAGAUGGACCUGCGGUGCAUUAGCUGGUUGGAGAGGUAACGGCUCACCAAGGCGACGAUGCAUAGCCGGCCUGAGAGGGCGGACGGCCACACUGGGACUGAGACACGGCCCAGACUCCUGCGGGAGGCAGCAGUAGGGAAUUUUCGUCAAUGGGGGGAACCCUGAACGAGCAAUGCCGCGUGAGCGAGGAAGGUCUUCGGAUCGUAAAGCUCUGUUGCCGGGGACAAAAGGCAGAAAGAGUGGAAAGCUUUCUGAGUGAUGGUACCCGGCGAGGAAGUCACGGCUAACUACGUGCCAGCAGCCGCGGUAAUACGUAGGUGGCGAGCGUUAUCCGGAAUGAUUGGGCGUAAAGGGUGCGCAGGCGGCCGGGCAAGUCCGCAGUAAAAACUGGAGGCUCAACCUUCAGGGGCUGCGGAAACUGUCCGGCUGGAGAGCAGGAGAGGACGGUGGAACUCCAUGUGUAGCGGUAAAAUGCGUAGAUAUAUGGAAGAACACCGGUGGCGAAGGCGGCCGUCUGGCCUGCAUCUGACGCUGAGGCACGAAAGCGUGGGGAGCAAAUAGGAUU